UACGUAGGGGGCAAGCGUUAUCCGGAUUCACUGGGUGUAAAGGGAGCGUAGACGGCGGCGCAAGUCUGGAGUGAAAGCCCGGGGCCCAACCCCGGGACUGCUCUGGAAACUGCGGCGCUGGAGUACGGGAGGGGCAGGCGGAAUUCCUGGUGUAGCGGUGAAAUGCGUAGAUAUCAGGAGGAACACCGGCGGCGAAGGCGGCCUGCUGGACCGUGACUGACGUUGAGGCUCGAGAGCGUGGGGAGCAAACAGG
rnacentral:rRNA from 1 species